rnacentral:rRNA from 1 species
UGGGGAAUUUUGCACAAUGGGGGAAACCCUGAUGCAGCGACGCCGCGUGAUUUAGAAGGCCUUCGGGUUGUAAAAAUCUUUUGUAUGGGAAGAAAAUGACAGUACCAUACGAAUAAGGACCGGCUAAUUACGUGCCAGCAGCCGCGGUAAUACGUAGGGGGCUAGCGUUGUCCGGAAUCACUGGGCGUAAAGGGUUCGCAGGCGGCAAUGCAAGUCAGAUGUAAAAGGCAAAGGCUCAACCUUUGUAAGCAUCUGAAACUGUAUAGCUUGAGAAGUGUAGAGGCAAGUGGAAUUUUUAGUGUAGCGGUGAAAUGCGUAGAUAUUAAAAAGAAUACCGGUGGCGAAGGCGACUUGCUGGGCACAAUCUGACGCUGAGGAACGAAAGCGUGGGGAGCAAACAGG